AAGGACACCAGCCGAUCGGCUUACGCCUAGAGUCUUGCCGCCGUCCGCUGAAGCGCGUGAGCUCACGCGUCUCCAGAAGUCUCGCGUCAUUCUUUACGCGCUGGCGCGUGCACCCUUCUUCUGGUGAUUUCUUCAGCUGUGCCUCUUGCAGAUGACCUUCCCUGUCCAACGUGCCUCUGACUAACAUGUUUUCACAUCUGGUU
rnacentral:misc_RNA from 1 species